rnacentral:sRNA from 1 species
UCUAUGAAAAAAUUGUUAAGAUUCUCUAUAUCCUGUUGAAGUCAGAAAGAGUUUAUGAAAAGAACAAGUCUCGCCUUCGUCUGGCUGACAUUGGUCACUGGGGUCUCAUUAACUUGAUGAGCCUGUAUGACAUAUCAGCACCAAUGAUCAAGAGGUUUAUUGAACAAGUGUCUUUCACAGAAACACCUCAGACCUAUGGAGCCGUCUUGGCUGUACUUGGACUGGU